UGAGAUCCUGCUCAACUGUCGCACAUCGUAUGACGUCAUCGAUCAGCGCCAAUGUAGUUCUGCGCUGCGCUUCUCUUCAUUGUCGUGUUUUCAAUUACAGUUCACGUCAAUAAAUUGUAAAAGUAUUCUUCGGACAACGCAAACGACUCUUCUUCGCCCAGACUCAGAGGACACGGAGAUAAGUGCCGAUGCCAACGGACGAUUAAUACUUUAAUUCUCACAUUUGGCGCCCAGCUGGAGCUAGUAGCAGAGCCUGCCGUCCAGUCACAUCGGACAUUAUGUGGAAGGCAUUGUGCAGUGUACACCAAGACAUGGACAAGAUGGCGAAACUGGACGUGACUAAAGCGCUGGAGAACUGGAGGUCAACUGGUGGUGGUAGCAGUAACAGAGGAGCUGUGGAACCACACACUUCACAGCAUUUUCCUACAGCCAGUCUAAAGUUUCUAGAACUGUCAGCAUGAUGAGGAUCGCGAGGAGACCAGAAUGCCUGUACACCCUGAGGUGGUUGGAUAUGUACACAUCAAAAACACUAUUUUAAGCAGCUCAGUACAACUAUGCUUGGUAGAGAAAACUGUUACUUGGUAAAAUGUUUUCUGUAUGUUGUGCAAUGAGCAGUAUGUAUCUAAGUGUGUGUGUAUAAAUAUAUAGCUUACAGGUAGUACAGAAUUAUUAAAGUACAGAAUGCAAGUAUGACGGCUACGUCCCACAAUGCACCACAUGGGAUGACGUGCUUUCCCAAGUUCUCUUAAUUGUUUGAUCAACACCAUCUUGUCCUUUUUGUCUUUUGUUGACAGCAGUGAAAUUAAUGUUCAUGCAAAGAAAAUGUUUUUCUGAAGUGGUUUAAACAAUAAGGGACUAAAGAUGGAAAUUAGCUUUGCUAAAGUCAUUCAUAAUUACAUUAUAAAUGUAUAUUAAUAUGCAAAAAAAAUCUAUAGAAACAAUCCUUGUUCCCUUCAGUGACUUAGAAACAUGGGAUUCAUAUGUUUUGAUUUCUGCAAUGAUGUUCCAAUGUUUACAAUCAAAAACUGACAUGUAGGAAAACACACUUGUAAAUGUUUCAGGGUGUGUGCAGAGCACACCUGAAAGUUGGCAAGGUGAUGGAGAAAGUGGUUGAACUGACUGAAGCUGUGGAGAACAGAUUGGCUGCAGGAGCAGUAACAUCAGCGACUCUGCAGCAGAUUCCUACAACCCAUCUCGUGAGGUAAAAAGGAUCCACAGGAGUCUGGAGGAUGGGCACAAAUACAGAGGAAAUGAGAGGUUCACGUCUGAGCACAACUCCGGUGGCACAAAUUCAAUGUUGUGGACAAUUGCAGAUGAAGAGGAAUGUGACACCUCUUUGAUCAGAAGAGCAACAGAUACUUUGAGAACAUCAGGAGGGAAUCUAAGUUGUCAGAAGACAAAGUGGAAGAGGAUCAGAGGGCCAAAGCUCUCAACAACCGAAGACAUAGACUUUUCAAUUCACGCCGAUCUGCUGCUCGCUCAUCUUAACCAAGAAGGAGUACAGAUACCUGGAACGGGCGCCUGCAUGCAUGAUGAGCGACGAGGAGACGGACACUGAAGACAAAGACGUGUGGAAAGCAUGUCCACCUGAAUGGAGGGCAACAAGACUCACGGACAUGUUAGAAAGGUGUCAGCACCACCUCGUUGACCUACAAAAGAUGUCCUCCAGGAUGGUGCACCGGAGAGCGCCCAGUGGUGUAUAGAGCCAGAGGCAGCCGCUGAGAGGAAUCAGAUUCAUUUAUUUGAAAUAAAACUGUGUGCUUUAAUUAAGAAAAAAAGAAAAACAUUGGUCUGUUUUUCAUGUCUGACAUGUUUUCAUUCAGCUAUGCAGUUUUGUAGAUGCACCUGAUUUAUUAGACUGCUUCAUUCUAUUCUGUUCCCACUGUUCAGUUAAUAAUGCUGAUAUUCUUUAUACAGUUUAAUCUGACAAUGUAAUUUUAUAAAUGCUUGCUGAAACAGUAACGUUUAAUUUGGUCAAAUGAUUUGUACAACAUGAUGAUGGUACACAAACCAAGAUUAAAGACUGUCACAUUAUAACUAUGAUUGUGAUGUUUGAAACUGACUGGGUGAUUUUAAUGCCUGCUAAGAUCUUAAAAGA